rnacentral:rRNA from 1 species
AUUUAGAGGAAGUAAAAGUCGUAACAAGGUCUCCGUAGGUGAACCUGCGGAGGGAUCAUUBACACAACAAAAAUAUGAGGGUGUGGUUUGCUGGCAACAGCGUCCGCCCCAAGUAUUUUUCACCCAUGUCUUUUGCGCACUUUUUGUUUCCUGGGCGAGUUCGCUCGCCACCAGGACCCAACCAUAAACCUUUUUUUAUGCAGUUGCAAUCAGCGUCAGUAUAAUAAUUCAAUUUAUUAAAACUUUCAACAACGGAUCUCUUGGUUCUGGCAUCGAUGAAGAACGCAGCGAAAUGCGAUACGUAGUGUGAAUUGCAGAAUUCAGUUGAUCAUCGAAUCUUUGAACGCACAUUGCGCCCUUUGGUAUUCCAAAGGGCAUGCCUGUUCGAGCGUCAUUUGUACCCUCAAGCUUUGCUUGGUGUUGGGCGUCUUUUUGUCUCUCCCCUUGUUGGGGGAGACUCGCCAAAAAACGAUUGGCAGCCGACCUACUGGUUUUCGGAGCGCAGCACAAAUAAACGCCUUCCAAUCCACGGGGCGGCAUCCAGCAAGCCUUUGUUUUCUAUAACAAAUCCACAUUUUGACCUCGGAUCAGGUAGGGAUACCCGCUGAACUUAAGCAUAUCAAUAA